rnacentral:miRNA from 1 species
AUAAGAACCACCUGGGGGCCUUGUUAAAAACACCCAUUACUAAACCCUGACCCCCAAAGUUUCUAAUUCAGUAGUCCUGAGAUGGGCUCAAGGAAGUGCAUUUCUAGCAAGUUCCCAGGUGAUGUUGAU